rnacentral:misc_RNA from 1 species
GAAAUGCGAUAAGUAGUGUGAAUUGCAGAAUUCAGUGAAUCAUCGAAUCUUUGAACGCACAUUGCGCCCCUCGGUAUUCCGUGGGGCAUGCCUGUUCGAGCGUCAUCUACACCCUCAAGCUCUGCUUGGUGUUGGGCGUCUGUCCCGCCUCCGCGCGCGGACUCGCCCCAAAUGCAUUGGCAGCGGUUCCUUGCCCCCCUCUUUGCGCAGCACAUUGCCAUUCGAGGCGGCGGCCGCCCGCGCCGUUAAAACUCUUCAUCACAGGUUGACCUCGGAUCGGGUAGGGAUACCCGCUGAACUUAAGC